UACGGGGGGAGCAAGCGUUGUUCGGAUUUACUGGGCGUAAAGGGCGCGUAGGCGGUCGUGACAAGUCACUUGUGAAAUCUCCGGGCUUAACUCGGAACGGUCAAGUGAUACUGUCGGACUAGAGUACAGAAGGGGCAACUGGAAUUCUCGGUGUAGCGGUGAAAUGCGUAGAUAUCGAGAGGAACACCUGCGGCGAAGGCGGGUUGCUGGGCUGAUACUGACACUGAGAAACGAAAGCCAGGGUAGCAAACGGG
rnacentral:rRNA from 1 species